rnacentral:rRNA from 1 species
CACUCCUGCGGGAGGCAGCAGUGGGGAAUUUUGGACAAUGGGCGAAAGCCUGAUCCAGCCAUGCCGCGUGCAGGAUGAAGGCCUUCGGGUUGUAAACUGCUUUUGUACGGAACGAAACGGCCUUUUCUAAUAAAGAGGGCUAAUGACGGUACCGUAAGAAUAAGCACCGGCUAACUACGUGCCGGCAGCCGCGGUAAUACGUAGGGUGCAAGCGUUAAUCGGAAUUACUGGGCGUAAAGCGUGCGCAGGCGGUUAUGUAAGACAGUUGUGAAAUCCCCGGGCUCAACCUGGGAACUGCAUCUGUGACUGCAUAGCUAGAGUACGGUAGAGGGGGAUGGAAUUCCGCGUGUAGCAGUGAAAUGCGUAGAUAUGCGGAGGAACACCGAUGGCGAAGGCAAUCCCCUGGACCUGUACUGACGCUCAUGCACGAAAGCGUGGGGAGCAAACAGGAUUAGAAACCCUAGUAGUCCCAUG